rnacentral:rRNA from 1 species
AUUGAACGCUGGCGGCAUGCCUUACACAUGCAAGUCGAACGGCAGCACGGGAGCAAUCCUGGUGGCGAGUGGCGAACGGGUGAGUAAUAUAUCGGAACGUGCCCAGUCGUGGGGAUAACGUAGCGAAAGCUACGCUAAUACCGCAUACGAUCUAUGGAUGAAAGCGGGGGAUCGCAAGACCUCGCGCGAUUGGAGCGGCCGAUAUCAGAUUAGGUAGUUGGUGAGGUAAAGGCUCACCAAGCCGACGAUCUGUAGCUGGUCUGAGAGGACGACCAGCCACACUGGGACUGAGACACGGCCCAGACUCCUACGGGAGGCAGCAGUGGGGAAUUUUGGACAAUGGGCGCAAGCCUGAUCCAGCAAUGCCGCGUGCAGGAUGACGGUCCUAUGGAUUGUAAACUGCUUUUGUACGGAACGAAAGGUUUGUCUUAAUACGAUGAGCUCAUGACGGUACCGUAAGAAUAAG